GAGGGCAUAGCUCAGUGGUAGAGUGUAUGCUUAGCAUGCACGAGGUCCUGGGUUCAAUCCCUAGUACCUCCA
rnacentral:tRNA from 1 species